rnacentral:rRNA from 1 species
GACGAACGCUGGCGGCGUGCUUAACACAUGCAAGUCGAACGGUGGUGACAGGGCUUGCCCUGUCUGAUCAGUGGCGAACGGGUGAGUAACACGUGAGCAACCUGCCCCAGACUCUGGGAUAACCCCGGGAAACCGGAGCUAAUACCGGAUAUGACACUCGCACGCAUGUGCAGGGUGUGGAAAGUUUUUCGGUCUGGGAUGGGCUCGCGGCCUAUCAGCUUGUUGGUGAGGUAGUGGCUCACCAAGGCGACGACGGGUAGCCGGCCUGAGAGGGCGACCGGCCACACUGGGACUGAGACACGGCCCAGACUCCUACGGGAGGCAGCAGUGGGGAAUAUUGGACAAUGGGCGAAAGCCUGAUCCAGCAAUUCCGCGUGUGUGAAGAAGGCCUUCGGGUUGUAAAGCACUUUAGUUGGGGAAGAAACAGCUUGGCCACACCAAGCCUUGACGGUACCCAAAGAAUAAGCACCGGCUAACUUUGUGCCA